rnacentral:rRNA from 1 species
AACGAACGCUGGCGGCAGGCCUAACACAUGCAAGUCGAACGAGAAGCCACCUUCGGGUGGUGGAAAGUGGCGCACGGGUGAGUAACGCGUGGGAACCUACCCAGGGGUACGGAAUAACUCAGGGAAACUUGAGCUAAUACCGUAUAUACCUUACGAGGGAAAGAUUUAUCGCCCCUGGACGGGCCCGCGUCGGAUUAGCUAGUUGGUGAGGUAAUGGCUCACCAAGGCGACGAUCCGUAGCUGGUCUGAGAGGAUGAUCAGCCACACUGGAACUGAGACACGGUCCAGACUCCUACGGGAGGCAGCAGUGGGGAAUAUUGGGCAAUGGGCGCAAGCCUGACCCAGCCAUGCCGCGUGGGUGAAGAAGGUCUUAGGAUUGUAAAGCCC